CUGAGUAGUUUUUGGAGGAGAAGGACAGAUUUUUAGUUAGUAAUGAGUUGAAGAAUUGUUGAGAGCAAGCAGAAAAGUGGAGUUGAGUUUAAGAUGAGAUCAGUCAUGAUUGUGUUAAAUGGCGGAGCAGGUUCAGGGGCUGAAGUGCCUAUUCCUGCUUCUAAUUCUUAUGUCCUUAUAUUCUUUUCCAUCAUAAUGCAGACAUCAAUUAAUGAUAAUGACUGUGCCUUCUGCCUUUCAGCUCUACUUUGUUGUAGGUUCACCAGGGGUCCUCCCAUCUCCACACUUAACUGUUGCCUGAUGGAAAGAAUUACCUAAGGAAUAAAAAAUUGCCUCACAGCCCUGGAUGCCUGUGCCAAUUUUUUCCUGGUCUAUGAGUCCUCAUUUGAAACUUGAAGUAUUUUUUCAAGUGUGCUCUCCCAAGCAACCUUAUAAUGGAGGGAAGGUCAUUGAUAAAGCAGUUGAAGAUGACUGGACCUAAGAAAAAUCCCCUGAGGAUCUCCCAACAAUCUGCCUUUAUCUCAGCAUGAAGUCACCAUGCUUGAGCGAGUAUAGAGCUGUGAAAGGAAAGAGAACAUCUAGAGAUCCUACAUUAAAACCGAACAGACAGAGCAUUACCUCAUACGCUAAUAAAUCAUCUCAGCCUUGGAAAAAGAGACAAUCAUUUUGUUUUUAAACACCUGAAAAAUGAGAUCUCUUAGCAUGCAAAUGAAGUACCUUUGAAAAUACCUUGUUCCCAAACCUCGGAACUUAGCCAAAGCAAUGAUGAAUGUGUAUAGCACAGGUGUGGGUGCCUAGCCUUGACAAAUGGACCAUCCUUUAUUUGUGCCCUGGCUGCAGGGAAUUUGUUUGUGUUGUUGCAUCGCUUUCUUAUUUAGCUAUUGUUGAGAUUGAA